AUGGUUUCUACGUCGGGGACGGUUGCCAUCGUCGUCGUCAUCCUGACCGUGCUGGUGGCGCCGGCGAGCUGCCGCCGGGCGCUAGUGGCUGCCAACAACGGGUCCGGCAGGGAGACCGAGGCCGCAGACCAGUGCGUGCGCGGCUGCGUCGGGGAGAUGCUGGCGUGCCAGCAGGCGUCGGCCGGCUGCGCCACCGCGACGGCGGCCAUGUCGUCGCGGCCGGAGACGACGAGCCAGCGGCAGCAGAGCGUUCCGUGCGGCUAUGGCGGCUGCGAGGACGAGUACCUUGGCUGCAUCGACGUCUGCUGA
rnacentral:rRNA from 1 species